rnacentral:lncRNA from 1 species
UCACGUGGGGUCACAUACAGCAUCAAAGCAUUGACGGCGCAGGGCAACACUUUGUACACACCGGAGCAAUUUGAUUCGUAAAACACACACACACAAACACACACACACCACACACUCACACACAUAGUAUAUCGUGUACCGAUGCUGUCACAUGCGUGGAGACAUUUUUUUCGACUUUUGAAACUCCGAUCGUAAUGACGAGGAACAUUUGAAACCUUCCUGCCGUGGUUUGCCCUGAGUGAAGGCUAUGUUCUGACGACAGAUUUCUUCUUUCGAUAACGUGCGUGGGUAAGGAUUUCACUUACUCUCUUCUGGCAGGUUGCUAUGACAGCGCAGAAAAACAUUUUUUGAACAUGAUGGCUCUGCCUUUAGCGUUUGAUACAAUUUGUAAUAAUAUUCAUUGAUCAGUGAAGAAUCACGUUUGAUUACGAUUAGUUUCUAGCAAAGUUUCGUUUUACAUUUCACACAUUAUUGUGGAGAAUCGCAGGAGUAUUUUUAUAGCAAGGAAUUAAAAUAUACUCUCGAUCAUCCAAAAUUAAACUUAAUUAAAUUUGUUUUGGUGCAGAGCUCUAAGCACUUCUGGUUAACGAAACAUUUAGUGGAAUGGUCAGUUUGAAAUAUUGUACAAGGGAACAUGGGGAACAGUCUGCACAGAUGCUUUUGGGGAAGAAGAAGCCAUUGGGGUCUGCAGGAUGCUUGGCUUCAACAAUAGAUCAACCGGGAAAACAUCAUGCGUCUGUUUGGCCAUCGUUCCUUCCUGUACUGGAGGAGUGGAUUUUCUCACUGCUACAGUGAUCUUCUUGCUCUGUCGAAAUUGUCGGUUAUCUCCCUUACCCAAGAUGAGGACCUAACACACGUUCGCUCUACAUGUGCUACAGUGUUCUACACAAAGAAGUCUACACAAUGACAGAAACUGGGGUCUCCACACACAGCCUACACACAGAUUUUAACUAAAGGAACAGGUCGAGGAAGUCAUCAGAUGAAAUCCGGAUUAACAACGACUGUGAGAACACAUCAGACUCUGUGACGACUGAUAGCCUUGAAGAUAUGCUCGUCAAUCUUUCAAAGCUUAUAAUAAUACAGGAAAAACAAUCUUAGCUUUCAAAUAAUUAUAACACUCGAAACGGUAUUUGUAUACCAAAGAAAUGUGAAGACUAUCAAAACAAAAUAUCCAAGAUUAUUGUAGCUGCUGCAGUAUUGUUGUCAGUGAUAAAUAAAUGUUGGUAACAAAACAAACCGCAAAAUUUAUUACAAAGAGAAUGAGUCGACAUCCUUGACUCUAUGUGUAGAUUGAAGACGGUUGAAGGCAUUAGCCUCUCAAUCUUUUUUAAUAUCUUCUAUUUGACUAGCAAUUGUGCGUUGAUUAUUUCCUUCAAGUCACAGAUGUAAAUUAUCUUUAGAAAACAAUCUCUGCAGCAACGUGUGUCGACAUUCCAUCAGGAGCUCAGCCAUCCCUUCAUUACUAGAUGGUGUGCAACAGUCAAAUAAAACCUUUCUGCAGCUGUAACAAAAAUAUUCUCACUUGCGACAUGCUGUAGCGCCUUACUUGUGCCGAGUACAAAGCUGACAAAGAACGUUAAUCAGUGCUACACUAUGUACUGUGAUUACGUCCCUUGGUAUACUUAAUUAUAAUUUCUAGCUGCGAUAAUGGUCGCCUGUUGCUGACACAGGUACUCAGCUCAAUGAUACAUGUUGUCUUUGCACGAUAGUCAUGAUUGUAUUCAUGUAUGAAAACACAUCCAUACACAUAUGUAUCCGAACUUACAAAGAAAAAUCACUUACACAAAUUCUUUACGAGUUGUAAACACAAAGACGGACACAAACAUUAAACAGCUGUACUCAUAAUGUUUCCUGCA